UUGCUAGACCAAGAAACCUUUGUUUUAAUUAAGCACAUAACCUCUUUGGUCCAUUUCCAACAGGAACUGAAACAACUGUUGAAGGCCCAAUCCCACGAACCAGGCCCACCUCUAUUCAACCCAGGGGACCUAGUACUGGUAAAGGUACUUCCUUACCUUUCUCUCUCAAUAUGCCCUGGUUGGGAGGGACCUUGCACUGUACUUCUUUUCACUCCUGUGGUGGUGAAGGUCAAGGUCACCAGAAUAGACUCUUGGAUUCAUUAUACUCAAGUAAAGGCCUGGGAAGCCAACAGAGUCACCUCUUUCAACCUAGAGGAGCAUCCAAAAUACCAUUGUGAAGAGAUCAGGGUACUCAAACUAAAAAUCACAAAAGGCUCCAGAAGCAGACCAGCAGACUAGCAGACAAGCAGAUGGACAGUGGAACGACGUGGCAGAGAGAGAGAGAAGAGGAGGAACAUCUGAACACUGAGGGGAGUUUGCCCAGGGGCGAUCGGAGAAGAUACCAGCUACUGGAUGGCCCGCCUCCAAGGGAAGAUCACCUUCCCACUCCAUUUCCCUUUCCAGUCCCCAAUCCAUCUCACUGAGAGCCACCUCCACCACUCAAUAAAAUCUUGCACUCAUCCUUCAAGCCCA